ensembl:lncRNA
UGAUUUUGGAAACUGUGGUGCUGGAGAAGACUCUUGAGAGUCCGUUGGGCAGCAAGGAGAUCCAACCAGUCCAUCCUAAAGGAAAUCAGUCCUGAAUAUUCACUGGAAGGACUGAUGCUGAAGCUGAAACUCCAAUACUUUGGCCACCUUAUGCGAACAACCGACUCAUUGGAAAAGACCCUGAUGUUGGGAAAGAUUGAAGGCGGGAGAAGGGGACGACAGAGGAUGAGAUGGUUGGAUGGCAUCACCGACUAGCAAGCUCAGGGUGUUGGUGAUGGACAGGGAAGCCUGGCGUGCUGCAGUCCAGGGGGUCGCAAAGAGUCGGACACGACUGAGCGACUGGACUGACUGAGGAUUCAUUUUGACACCUCCGUCUCGCGUGCUGCGCCUUCAUUUCUCAAAGCCUAACUGCGCCAGUCCUCCAGAUCUCCGCACGGCGUCCCUUCCCCUGAGACCCCGCCCUUGUCUCCCGGCUCAACCCACUGAAGGCCUUGCGGGCCCGGCCCGGCCCGGCGCCCCGCCCCCUCAAACGUCGCAGUGCUGCAGGGAAAGGGGGCGGGGCUUGGCGGGGGUGGGAUUUGUCCUUCCGCUGUAGGGCCAAUCGGUGAGGCUCCCCCUUGCCGAAACAGGGGAGCGGGGCGCAAAGACAGGACAAGUGUUUUCCCCUUCUCCGCCACGUCCCAACUACUGACGCGCGCCCACUCCUCAGGUUCCGAUUGGGCAGGAGGCUUACCCCCGCAGCGGUCUAUUAAGCCUAUUGGUCGAGCCCGCUUUGGGGGCGGGGCUUGCGCGCUCCCCGCCCUCGCCUGCGCCGCGGCGCAAGGGGCGGGGCGCGCCGCCGCCGUCCGUGUUUCCGCCGCCGCCGGCUCCUGCGCGUUGGGCGGGGGAGGAGUCGGAGGCGGAGAAGAAGGCGGCGGCGGCGGCGGGUGGAGGACCGAGCGCCGUCCUCGCUCCGGAGCCGCUUCUCAGCUCGACGCAUAGGCACUGCGUUGAGUCGGCUGCUUCCGGGAAAGUUGUUUUUUUAAAGGCCUAAUAUAAUCUUUUUAAUCAUGACUUGUUUGAACUUCAAACAGCAUGGAAGGACUAAGGUGAAAAGUGCAUCUCCCACUUCCCCUUCUAGUUCUGCCUUCGUUCUGAGAGUCAGCUGUUCAGUAAACUUCCUCUUUAUGUGAUUAUUUCUGGAGCAUGUAUUCCUAGAAAUUGAAUUGCUAGAUUAAAAACAGUAUGCAUUUAAGUUUUGAUAACCUAUUAAAUUUCUCCCUACUUAGUACUCUUUUCCAAGUUAAUCUUAUGCAUUCUACAAAUGAACUUUAGACUCAACUUGCAAAUUAGAUAAAAGAUCCUUUAGGUGUUUUGAGUGAGGUUAUAUUGAAAUUUUAGAUUAAUAUGGAGCAUAUUGUACUUUGUGAUACUGAAUCUCUCCCUUCUGAUAGAUAUGUAUAGCAUGUCUCUUAAUUCACAUCUUGCUUAAGGAAAGUUUUAUAAUUUUAUUCCAUAAAACUCUAUGGCAUUCCAUCUUGGUAGCUCUGGUGGAUAGAAACUUUAAGUAACAUUUAUUUCUCACCCCCCAGUUAUACCAAAGCUUU